rnacentral:rRNA from 1 species
UACGAAGGGGGCUAGCGUUGCUCGGAAUCACUGGGCGUAAAGCGCACGUAGGCGGGUUCUUAAGUCGGUGGUGAAAUCCUGGAGCUCAACUCCAGAACUGCCUCCGAUACUGAGAGCCUCGAGUCCGGGGAGAGGUGAGUGGAACUGCGAGUGUAGAGGUGAAAUCGUAGAUAUUCGCAAGAACACCAGUGGCGAAGGCGGCUCACUGGCCCGGUACUGACGCCUGGAGGAGCGAAAG